rnacentral:rRNA from 1 species
GUAGGGAAUCUUGCGCAAUGGGCGAAAGCCUGACGCAGCCAUGCCGCGUGAAUGAUGAAGGUCUUAGGAUUGUAAAAUUCUUUCACCGGGGACGAUAAUGACGGUACCCGGAGAAGAAGCCCCGGCUAACUUCGUGCCAGCAGCCGCGGUAAUACGAAGGGGGCUAGCGUUGCUCGGAAUUACUGGGCGUAAAGGGAGCGUAGGCGGAUAGUUUAGUCAGAGGUGAAAGCCCAGGGCUCAACCUUGGAAUUGCCUUUGAUACUGGCUGUCUUGAGUUUGGGAGAGGUGAGUGGAACUCCGAGUGUAGAGGUGAAAUUCGUAGAUAUUCGGAAGAACACCAGUGGCGAAGGCGACUCACUGGCCCAAUACUGACGCUGAGGCGCGAAAGCGUGGGGAGCAAACAGGAUUAGAUACCCUAGUAGUCC